rnacentral:rRNA from 1 species
UAGGGAAUAUUAGAAAUGGACGAAAGUCUGAUCUAGCAACACCGCGUGUGCGAAGAAGGCCUUCGGGUUGUAAAGCACUUUUUGGAAGGAUUAGGAAGGAAUGUACUUCCAGAAUAAGUCUCGGCUAACUACGUGCCAGCAGCCGCGGUAACACGUAGGAGGCAAACGUUAUCCGGAUUUACUGGUCGUAAAGCGCGUGUAGGCGGUUCUGUAAGUAGGGCGUGAAAGCUCCUGGCUCAACUGGGAGAGGCCGUUCUAAACUGCAGAGCUAGAGGAUGGUAGAGGGAGGUGGAAUUCCGGGUGUAGCGGUGAAUGCGCAGAUAUCCGGAGGAACACCAGUGGCGAAAGCGGCCUCCUGGACCAUUCCUGACACUCAGACGCGAAAGCUAGGGUAGCAAACG